rnacentral:rRNA from 1 species
GACGAACGCUGGCGGCGUGCUUAACACAUGCAAGUCGAACGGUGAAGCGCCUUCCUUUUUGGUGGGUGUGGAUGAGUGGCGAACGGGUGAGUAACACGUGAGUAACCUGCCCCCUUCUUCUGGAUAACCGCAUGAAAGUGUGGCUAAUACGGGAUAUUCUGGGUCUGUCGCAUGAUGGGUCUGGGAAAGAUAUUGUUUCGGUGGGGGAUGGGCUCGCGGCCUAUCAGCUUGUUGGUGGGGUGAUGGCCUACCAAGGCGGUGACGGGUAGCCGGCCUGAGAGGGUGGACGGUCACACUGGGACAGAGGCACGGCCCGGACUGAGACGGGAGGCAGCAGUGGGGAAUAUGGCACAGUGGGCGAAAGCCUGAUGCAGCGACGCCGCGUGAGGGAUGGAGGCCUUCGGGUUGUGAACCUCUUUCGCUAGUGAAGCAGGCCUGCCUCGUUUGUGGGUGGGUUGACGGUAGCUGGAUAAGAAGCGCCGGCUAACUACGUG